rnacentral:rRNA from 1 species
UACGAAGGGUGCAAGCGUUACUCGGAAUCACUGGGCGUAAAGCGUGCGUAGGCGGUUGGUUAAGUCUGCUGUGAAAGCCCUGGGCUCAACCUGGGAACUGCAGUGGAUACUGGUCAGCUAGAGUGUGAUAGAGGAUGGUGGAAUUCCCGGUGUAGCGGUGAAAUGCGUAGAGAUCGGGAGGAACACCAGUGGCGAAGGCGGCCAUCUGGAUCAACACUGACGCUGAGGCACGAAAGCGUGGGGAGCAAACAGG